AUUGAACGCUGGCGGCAGGCUUAACACAUGCAAGUCGAGCGAGCGGCGGACGGGUGAGUAAUGUCUGGGAAACUGCCUGAUGGAGGGGGAUAACUACUGGAAACGGUAGCUAAUACCGCAUACCAUCAGAUGUGCCCAGAUGGGAUUAGCUAGUAGGUGGGGUAUUGGCUCACCUAGGCGACGAUCCCUAACUGGUCUGAGAGGAUGACCAGCCAGCCUGGAACUGAGAGACGGUCAAGACGCCUACGGGAGGCAGCAGUGGAGAGUAAUGCACAGUGGGCGCAAGCCGGAUGCAGCCAUGCCGCGUGUGGGAAGAAGGCCUUCGGGUUGUAAAGCACUUUCAGCGAGGAGGCGUUACUCGCAGAGGAAGCACCGGCUAACUCCGUGCCAGCAGCCGCGGAAAUUC
rnacentral:rRNA from 1 species